rnacentral:sRNA from 1 species
AGAAAAGAUGGCAGAGGGAGGGUGAACCCAGGGCCCAUCUGUGGGUAUGGGCUCCAAUUUCCUAAGCUGUGGUUAUAACCGUGGCUUCCACCUUGUCUGGCACUGGGUCCACAUCUUUUCUGAGAUCUGCUAGAAGGUCAGAGCCCUAGAGAAUAAGAGAAGCUUGCUGCUGGUGAGGGGGUAUGGCCAGGAUUCCUGGAGUCGGAAGAGCUUCAGCUUCACCAUCUUGGGAGAAGAAGGAAGAAAGUGAAAGCAAUGUGGUCCUUCUUAGUCCCAAGGACCCUGACAGAGGACACGCAGAGGAGCAGCUGGCUUGCCCGGAGUCCUCCGACCUUGACCCAAGAAUGCAGGGCCCACCCCGCAGCCUCCCCGCUGGGCUCAGCCUGGACGACUUCAUCCCUGGCCACCUCCAGUCCCACAUAGGGUCUUCCUCCCCGGGGACACGGGUGCCCGUGAUCCGGAAUGGUGGCUCCAACACCCUUAAUUUCCAGUUCCACGACCCCGCGCCCAGGACUGUGUGCAAUGGGGGCUACACAAGACGAGAUGCUUCGCAGCACCCGG